AAUAAAUGUAGUUUUGCACUAUUUAUGUUCAACGUUUAACCGUCCGUUUUAUUUGAAAAACUUUUAUGAUUAGUAUUUUUAUUGUGUUUAGAUGAUAAAACAUGAAUAGUAGUUUAUGUGUGACUUUUUUUUUAAUUUUUUCAUAAACUUUUUAAAUAAGACAGACGGUCAAACGUUGGACACGGAUACCUACGGCCGCGCUAUAC
rfam:Oryza sativa (indica cultivar-group) chromosome 8, whole genome shotgun sequence.